CCUACGGGUGGCAGCAGUGGGGAAUUUUGGACAAUGGGGGCAACCCUGAUCCAGCCAUGCCGCGUGCGGGAAGAAGGCCUUCGGGUUGUAAACCGCUUUUGUCCGGAAAGCGGUACCGGAAGAAUAAGCACCGGCUAACUACGUGCCAGCAGCCGCGGUAAUACGUAGGGUGCGAGCGUUAAUCGGAAUUACUGGGCGUAAAGCGUGCGCAGGCGGUCCGCAAAGUCUGAUGUGAAAGCCCCGGGCUCAACCUGGGAACUGCAUUGGAAACUAACGGGCUCGAGUGUGGCAGAGGGGGGUGGAAUUCCACGUGUAGCAGUGAAAUGCGUAGAGAUGUGGAGGAACACCGAUGGCGAAGGCAGCCCCCUGGGCUAAACUGACGCUCAGGCACGAAAGCGUGGGGAGCAAACAGGAUUAGAUACCCUUGUAGUC
rnacentral:rRNA from 1 species